rnacentral:tRNA from 1 species
GCGUUCGUGGUGUAGUGGUCAGUACGCUCGACGCGUAUUCGAGAGGUCCGUGGUUCGAGUCCCGGCGAGGACA